rnacentral:rRNA from 1 species
UAGAGUUUGAUUCUGGCUCAGAUUGAACGCUGGCGGCAUGCCUUACACAUGCAAGUCGAACGGCAGCGCGGGAGCAAUCCUGGCGGCGAGUGGCGAACGGGUGAGUAAUACAUCGGAACGUGUCCUGGAGUGGGGGAUAGCCCGGCGAAAGCCGGAUUAAUACCGCAUACGCUCUGAGGAGGAAAGCGGGGGAUCUUCGGACCUCGCGCUCAAGGGGCGGCCGAUGGCAGAUUAGGUAGUUGGUGGGGUAAAGGCCUACCAAGCCGACGAUCUGUAGCUGGUCUGAGAGGACGACCAGCCACACUGGGACUGAGACACGGCCCAGACUCCUACGGGAGGCAGCAGUGGGGAAUUUUGGACAAUGGGGGCAACCCUGAUCCAGCAAUGCCGCGUGUGUGAAGAAGGCCUUCGGGUUGUAAAGCACUUUUGUCCGGGAAGAAAUCCUUUUCGAUAAUACCGAAGGGGGAUGACGGUACCGGAAGAAUAAGCACCGGCUAACUACGUGCCAGCAGCCGCGGUAAUACGU